AUGAACGCUGGCGGCGUGCCUAAUACAUGCAAGUCGAGCGAACGGACGAGAAGCUUGCUUCUCUGAUGUUAGCGGCGGACGGGUGAGUAACACGUGGAUAACCUACCUAUAAGACUGGGAUAACUUCGGGAAACCGUAGCUAAUACCGGAUAAUAUUUUGAACCGCAUGGUUCAAAAGUGAAAGACGGUCUUGCUGUCACUUAUAGAUGGAUCCGCGCUGCAUUAGCUAGUUGGUAAGGUAACGGCUUACCAAGGCAACGAUGCAUAGCCGACCUGAGAGGGUGAUCGGCCACACUGGAACUGAGACACGGUCCAGACUCCUACGGGAGUCAGCAGUAGGGAAUCUUCCGCAAUGGGCGAAAGCCUGACGGAGCAACGCCGCGUGAGUGAUGAAGGUCUUCGGAUCGUAAAACUCUGUUAUUAGGGAAGAACAUAUGUGUAAGUAACUGUGCACAUCUUGACGGUACCUAAUCAGAAAGCCACGGCUAACUACGUG
rnacentral:rRNA from 1 species